rnacentral:lncRNA from 1 species
GCAGAGUGUUUUGUGGCAGAGAGUCCCCACGAAGUGCAGCAGUCAAGUCAGGCAGGCCCUCACUGGGGCGUCCGCACUGUGCCCUGAUGUGGAGCUUAACCCAGGACACCAGGAAAUGAACCACGUCAACCCCAGGGAAGAAACUGUUCAUUUUGGCCUUGAGAAUACUACCACACUGGAGGAAACGUUGGAGACUUUUCCCCCUCGUUACCAAGUUGUUAAUGAGUCUUCCCUCCCUGCCUGCUCCGCUCUCGCCACACCAUCGGGCUAAUCAGGGGUUUUGACUCUUUCCAUCGCAACGGACACAAAUGUUGGCGAGGUUCUGUCAGAACCAGUACUGGAUGGACAGUAUGGAAGGAAAUAGAGGAAGGAGG